rnacentral:rRNA from 1 species
CCUACGGGUGGCUGCAGUGGGGAAUAUUGGACAAUGGGGGCAACCCUGAUCCAGCCAUGCCGCGUGAGUGAUGAAGGCCUUCGGGUUGUAAAGCUCUUUCGGUCGGGACGAUGAUGACGGUACCGACAGAAGAAGCCCCGGCUAACUCUGUGCCAGCAGCCGCGGUAAUACAGAGGGGGCGAGCGUUGUUCGGAAUUACUGGGCGUAAAGGGUGCGUAGGCGGUUUUCCAAGUCAGAUGUGAAAUCCCUGGGCUUAACCCAGGACGUGCAUUUGAGACUGGGAGGCUUGAGUAUGGGAGAGGAUGGUGGAAUACCCAGUGUAGAGGUGAAAUUCGUAGAGAUUGGGUAGAACACCGAUGGCGAAGGCAGCCAUCUGGCCCAUUACUGACGCUGAGGCACGAAAGCGUGGGGAGCAAACAGGAUUAGAUACCCCGGUAGUC